UAUGUUACAGAGCGCUACCACGCUUGGCAAUAGUUCUCUUCACGCAUCUUAUUUUCGUUUACCGAUGUCAAGAAAAACACCAAAGACAGAAAUAAAUUUUUUUUCGACAAUGCUACAAUAAGAGUAACAGUUAAAGCAGUGUAUUCGGUGACCAUGUCAGUGUAGCAGCUGGAGAUAGAUAUUCCUCUUGCAUCUACAACAAUAACGUGAAUUGUAAACCUUGUUUAUCCCAUGGUGUACUUCUUAACAUGCAAGUCAGAGCGUUUCACAGGAACGUGCCCGCCUUUGUCUACUGAGCAGUGUUCGCGAUCAAUAAUGCAGGAGCUGCCUGGAAGGCACGCAUCGACCGAUCUGCAGGAUGUGGUCUGCGUAGAAAGCAAGACCUUCACCGCCGCAGAGGACAGUCGAAAGGCAAUUACCAGCUCAUUGGUGUGCAGCAUCCGGUCCAGGGUAAUAGGUUCAGUACCAGGUCGAGCGGGGGUGGAUGGGGUAGGAUCUGCAGAAAACCCUGAUUCAGGACCCUCAAUAAUAAUGCAUAGCGGUUGUCCAUUUAUCCUGAAAAGGAUACAGUAAUCUACCGAGUCAUCCAACCUGUUCAUCUUUGAAUAAAACGACUCUGCUGGCAGGGAAAGCAAGAGUUACAGGCCAACCGGCUUUGUCAGACACAAGGCAAAGGUGAUCAUUCACGACCCCUUCGCCAUGCGACACUUCUUUGGGUACAACUUUGGCCACUACUUGCAGCAUUAGCUCAGCAUGGGGACCCGCACUCACAGAGCCCUUCUCAAGAUCUGUAAGGACGAGAAGCGACGUUUCAUCUGGCCUGGUUUCGGCGAGAACGUUCACGUCCUGGACUGGAUCGACAGCGAGGACGUGGCAGAGGAGAGCGCCGUCGGCUUCCUUCCAAAACCUUCGUCCUUGGGAGACCAGGAUAUUGACACGGAGCCGCAUCUCAAGGAUAAAGGGACUAGAAGAUGAACACGUAGUUAAACCUACUUCACUUUUUACAAAUGUAAAACGAAUCGCUAGAAUUGAAGCUAUAAUAAGA